UACGGAGGGUGCAAGCGUUAAUCGGAAUUACUGGGCGUAAAGCGUGCGCAGGCGGUUCGUUGUGUCGGCGGUGAAAUCCCCGGGCUCAACCUGGGAAUGGCCGUUGAAACUGGCGAACUGGAGUGUGGCAGAGGGGGGUGGAAUUCCGCGUGUAGCAGUGAAAUGCGUAGAGAUGCGGAGGAACACCGAUGGCGAAGGCAGCCCCCUGGGCUGACACUGACGCCUCAGGCACGAAAGCGUGGGGAGCAAACAGG
rnacentral:rRNA from 1 species